rnacentral:pre_miRNA from 1 species
GUAGUAUUCCCUUCGUCCCAAAAUUCUUGUCUUACAUUUGUUUAGAUACGGAUGUAUCUAACACUAAAAUGUAACUAGAUACAUCCGUAUUUAGACAAAUUUAAGACAAGAAUUUUGGGACGGAGGGAGUACAAA